rnacentral:rRNA from 1 species
UGGGGAAUUUUGGACAAUGGGCGCAAGCCUGAUCCAGCCAUGCCGCGUGCGGGAAGAAGGCCUUCGGGUUGUAAACCGCUUUUGUCAGGGAAGAAAUCUUCUGAGUUAAUACCUCGGGAGGAUGACGGUACCUGAAGAAUAAGCACCGGCUAACUACGUGCCAGCAGCCGCGGUAAUACGUAGGGUGCAAGCGUUAAUCGGAAUUACUGGGCGUAAAGCGUGCGCAGGCGGUUUUGUAAGACAGAGGUGAAAUCCCCGGGCUCAACCUGGGAACUGCCUUUGUGACUGCAAGGCUUGAGUGCGGCAGAGGGGGGAUGGAAUUCCGCGUGUAGCAGUGAAAUGCGUAGAUAUGCGGAGGAACACCGAUGGCGAAGGCAAUCCCCUGGGCCUGCACUGACGCUCAUGCACGAAAGCGUGGGGAGCAAACAGGAUUAGAUAGCCCUGGUAGUCCACGCCCUAAACGAUGUCAACUGGUUGUUGGGAAGGUUCCUUCUCAGUAACGUGAGCUAACGCGUGAAGUUGACCGCCUGGGGAGUACGGCCGCAA